rnacentral:rRNA from 1 species
AGCAGCCGCGGUAAUUCCAGCUCCAAUAGCGUAUAUUAAAGUUGUUGCAGUUAAAAAGCUCGUAGUUGAAUUUCGGGAUCAGUACGCUGGUCAUGCCUUUGGUAUGCACUGGUGUCACUGGUUUCUCCCUUCUGAAGAACCGUGAUGUCAUUAAUUUGGUGUCGCGGGGAAUCAGGACUGUUACUUUGAAAAAUUAGAGUGUUUAAAGCAGGCUCACGCUUGAAUACAUUAGCAUGGAAUAAUGAAAUAGGACGUUUGACCCUAUUUUGUUGGUUUCUAGGAUCGACGUAAUGAUUAAUAGGGAUAGUUGGGGGCAUUAGUAUUCAAUUGUCAGAGGUGAAAUUCUUGGAUUUAUUGAAGACUAACUACUGCGAAAGCAUUUGCCAAGGAUGUUUUCAUUAAUCAAGAACGAAAGUUAGGGGAUCGAAGACGAUCAGAUACCGUCGUAGUCUUAACCAUAAACUAUGCCGACUAGGGAUCGGAUGAUGUUAAUUUUAUAAUGA